GGUGCGUGCUGCGUCACACAGCGCGUAAGCCCCGCCCCCUCUGUCUCUAUCUCUCUCCACUCUCAAACCGAAACUGACGUUUCUCUGACUGACAUUUAGCUACAGAAUAACCACUAACCAACUAGCUAACUGCCUUUCUCACAGCCUGCAGUUUAAAAUACAUUCUUUUGGGGUCAAUUCCUGUGAAGUAGCGUUAGCUACCUGUAAUACUGGUGGCGUACGGUACAAGAUACGGGCUGUCUGUGUUAUCUUAAGGAAAUAACAUUAUUUCCGUGACAUUAUUAGCUUAACACACAUUAGCUAGCUUAACUAGUUAGUUAGCUUAUCAGCUAGCUUAGCUUAGCAGGGUGCCUGCUUCAAAGUUAGACAACCAAACAGAAGGUGGCUAACUAUAUAUAACGUUAACGUUAACUAACUUACAAAGUUUACCCAGUCUUUUUAUGACAACACCUUCCCUCCAAAUAUGUGCUGGAAAUGUUUAUGAACCAUAGAAGUGGGCAGGCUUGUCAUGUCCUGGGAAUGACUGGAGAUUGCUAGAAAUGACUGGAAAUGACCAGCAGCAGGAGGAAACACGGCGUGCUAAAGAAGCUCGGAGCCACUUUAAGAGGAGCAGGGAGGCUCAGGAAUCCGCUAACUAUCACUAACCUGUCACGCAGCCCCGAGGACCAAACACAUGCUCUCGGCAACUUGAUCUGGCUCCGACACCCGAUCCGCUCUCCCUCCCAGCCCACUCGAAACUUUAGCAGCGAAAAACGAGACGCCACAGCAUCGCCUCGCCUCUUACCUCCUCCUCCUCUUCUUCCAGCAGCAGCAGCAGCAGCAGCACAGACAGAGCAGCAGCCCUCCUCACUCCUCCUGCAUGGUGGCGCGCUGCUCCCUCUCUCAGCCUCUGCGCUUCUCUAGGGCUCGACCUGGCUCGUCACAUGAGACAGAAAGUACCUAGAGGAGCAGAAAUACGGAACUGGCCUCAGUCAGUGGAGAUGAUACGUACGCGCGUGUGUGUGUAAGGGGGGGGGUGAAAGGGGCGGAGCAGUGUGCAGCGCUUGUUUACGCAUUGCUGCUGCUUUGCUGCUUUCUUCACUCCUCUCGCAGAUCAUAUACACUGUUUGAUUGGACACUAACUAGGGCGCAGCCUUCACUCUCCCGCUGCUCGCCCGCUGUAACACCGCAGCCAGGAGCUCCAGAUUAACUAAACUAACUUAAACCUGUUUAUAAAUCCCGAAGAAGAUCCAGAAUAAGAGGUGUAAACGCUCUGGGAAAGCUGGAGGUGUGGAUAGGGGCGUUUCUGAAUAAUUUAGACUUUUAAAUGACUUUUUAAAGAAGAUUUAUUCAUUUCAUUAUAAACAAAACAAAUUCUAUAUACAGUAGAAAGAACAAAAAUCACAAAUAAAAUAAAUGAAAGGCAGCA
rnacentral:lncRNA from 1 species